rnacentral:rRNA from 1 species
GAUGAACGCUAGCUACAGGCUUAACACAUGCAAGUCGAGGGGCAGCAUUUCAGUUUGCUUGCAAACUGGAGAUGGCGACCGGCGCACGGGUGAGUAACACGUAUCCAACCUGCCGAUAACUCGGGGAUAGCCUUUCGAAAGAAAGAUUAAUACCCGAUGGCAUAAUUAGACCGCAUGGUCUUAUUAUUAAAGAAUUUCGGUUAUCGAUGGGGAUGCGUUCCAUUAGGCAGUUGGUGAGGUAACGGCUCACCAAACCUUCGAUGGAUAGGGGUUCUGAGAGGAAGGUCCCCCACAUUGGAACUGAGACACGGUCCAAACUCCUACGGGAGGCAGCAGUGAGGAAUAUUGGUCAAUGGGCGCAGGCCUGAACCAGCCAAGUAGCGUGAAGGAUGACUGCCCUAUGGGUUGUAAACUUCUUUUAUAUGGGAAUAAAGUUUUCCACGUGUGGAAUUUUGUAUGUACCAUAUGAAUAAGGAUCGGCUAACUCCGUGCCAGCAGCCGCGGUAAUACGGAGGAUCCGAGCGUUAUCCGGAUUUAUUGGGUUUAAAGGGAGCGUAGGUGGACAGUUAAGUCAGUUGUGAAAGUUUGCGGCUCAACCGUAAAAUUGCAGUUGAUACUGGCUGUCUUGAGUACAGUAGAGGUGGGCGGAAUUCGUGGUGUAGCGGUGAAAUGCUUAGAAAUCACGAAGAACUCCGAUUGCGAAGGCAGCUCACUGGACCGCAACUGACACUGAUGCUCGAAAGUGUGGGUAUCAAACAGGAUUAGAUACCCUGGUAGUCCACACAGUAAACGAUGAAUACUCGCUGUUUGCGAUAUACAGUAAGCGGCCAAGCGAAAGCAUUAAGUAUUCCACCUGGGGAGUACGCCGGCAACGGUGAAACUCAAAGGAAUUGACGGGGGCCCGCACAAGCGGAGGAACAUGUGGUUUAAUUCGAUGAUACGCGAGGAACCUUACCCGGGCUUAAAUUGCAUUUGAAUAUAUUGGAAACAGUAUAGCCGUAAGGCAAAUGUGAAGGUGCUGCAUGGUUGUCGUCAGCUCGUGCCGUGAGGUGUCGGCUUAAGUGCCAUAACGAGCGCAACCCUUAUCUUUAGUUACUAACAGGUCAUGCUGAGGACUCUAGAGAGACUGCCGUCGUAAGAUGUGAGGAAGGUGGGGAUGACGUCAAAUCAGCACGGCCCUUACGUCCGGGGCUACACACGUGUUACAAUGGGGGGUACAGAAGGCAGCUACCUGGUGACAGGAUGCUAAUCCCAAAAGCCUCUCUCAGUUCGGAUCGAAGUCUGCAACCCGACUUCGUGAAGCUGGAUUCGCUAGUAAUCGCGCAUCAGCCAUGGCGCGGUGAAUACGUUCCCGGGCCU